rnacentral:rRNA from 1 species
CCCUUAGAUGUCCUGGGCCGCACGCGCGUUACACUGAUGCAUUCAACGAGCUUAUAACCUUGGCCGAGAGGCCUGGGCAAUCUUGUUAACGUGCAUCGUGAUAGGGAUAGAUUAUUGAAAUUAUUAAUCUUGAACGAGGAAUUCCUAGUAAACGCAGAUCAUCAAUCUGCAUUGAUUACGUCCCUGCCCUUUGUACACACCGUCCGUCGCACCUACCGAUUGGAUGGUCCGGUGAAGCCUCGGGAUUGUGGUUCUUGCCGCUUUAUUGUGGCGUGACCGCGAGAACUUGUCUAAACCUUAUCAUCUAGGGGAAGGUGAAGUCGUAACA